rnacentral:misc_RNA from 1 species
AAGGGGUAAUAGCGGAGGAUCGAGCGAGCCAACCUCCCCCCGUGUUUACUGUACCUUAGUUGCUUCGGCGGGCCCGCCAUUCAUGGCCGCCGGGGGCUCUCAGCCCCGGGCCCGCGCCCGCCGGAGACACCACGAACUCUGUCUGAUCUAGUGAAGUCUGAGUUGAUUGUAUCGCAAUCAGUUAAAACUUUCAACAAUGGAUCUCUUGGUUCCGGCAUCGAUGAAGAACGCAGCGAAAUGCGAUAACUAGUGUGAAUUGCAGAAUUCCGUGAAUCAUCGAGUCUUUGAACGCACAUUGCGCCCCCUGGUAUUCCGGGGGGCAUGCCUGUCCGAGCGUCAUUGCUGCCCAUCAAGCACGGCUUGUGUGUUGGGUCGUCGUCCCCUCUCCGGGGGGGACGGGCCCCAAAGGCAGCGGCGGCACCGCGUCCGAUCCUCGAGCGUAUGGGGCUUUGUCACCCGCUCUGUAGGCCCGGCCGGCGCUUGCCGAACGCAAAUCAAUCUUUUUCCAGGUUGACCUCGGAUCAGGUAGGGAUACCCGCUGAACUUAAGCAUAUCAAUAAGGCGGAGGAAAACAAUU